rnacentral:hammerhead_ribozyme from 1 species
AUCCAGAUGACGAGUCCCGAAUAGGACAAAAUGCACGUUAUCCUGGAU